rnacentral:rRNA from 1 species
CGGGGGGGCAAGCGUUGUUCGGAAUUACUGGGCGUAAAGGGCUCGUAGGCGGCCAACUAAGUCAGACGUGAAAUCCCCAGGCUCAACCUGGGAACUGCGUCUGAUACUGGUUGGCUUGAAUCCGGGAGAGGGAUGCAGAAUUCCAGGUGUAGCGGUGAAAUGCGUAGAUAUCUGGAGGAAUACCGGUGGCGAAGGCGGCAUCCUGGACCGGCAUUGACGCUGAUGAGCGAAAGCCAGGGGAGCAAACGGGAUUAGAUACCCCGGUAGUCCUGGCCCUAAACGAUGAAUGCUUGGUGUAACGGGUAUCGAUCCCUGUUGUGCCGAAGCUAACGCAUUAAGCAUUCCGCCUGGGGAGUACGGUCGCAAGGCUG